CAGCCACAACCAGUCACCUCUAUCUACAGUUGCCAGCAUCCAACUCAUCAUGCUUCCAUGUGAGGAGAGGUCUUCUGUCUGCUUUCUCCGCCAAACAGCCCGUCACCUCUGUCUACAUUGAGGGAUCCAACUCGCUCACUUUCCUAUAAUUCGGAGAGGAAAAUUUUGCGUCUUUACAGGGCACUCUCAGCCACAACAAGCAUUCCACAUUAGUUUUGAAUACUCUCAUUUUCUUGAUUUUUUUUAUGAGGUGGUUGUGUUUAUCUACUAGACAUUUUAUGGAAGAAAGGUCUUUAAGAUUUGUUCACAUGGCGUUUUGAAGGUCUGGUUUUCACCAAAGAUGAACUCCUACUGGUCGCAGCCUAUUAUCAUUUCAUUCUCGAUCUAGUUCCCAACUCAUGAAUACUGAGUUUCCAAUUGGUACUCAAAUUUUUGCUCUUUGAGGUGUUCAUUUAUUAAAAGCAGUCUAACAAGUAGGACAGCGCAGCACAUUUCCUUGGUCAGUCCAGAUCUUAUCGUCCAACUUUCACAUAUGACCAUCAGGUAUUCAAUGUCACAAUCAAAGAUCGUUUUGAUGCCUCGAAGAUAUAAGGAGAGAUUCCGAGCAAAUGGAUAUUCCCAGUAUGCAUCUGUUUUGUUGAUGCUGCUAGCUGCUUGUCUCCAUCAGGUUUUCUCAAGCGAAAAGCAAUGUCUAAAAAUUUCUGGCAGCACAUCCAAUACAUCAGCUAAAUGACAACUGCAGAAAAUACAAAAAUCAAUUGCUGUGGCUGCUGUACAUUAAGAGUGAUGAAUAUAUGAAGAGUUCUGAAUGCAUAACUGACAUGUUAUGUGCUGAAAACUAAUUUCUAACUACGUGAUCCAGGAGCAUUCAUAAUUUCAAAUGGACUCAGAACUUGGGUUUAAUAGCUCUGCUUGCCCUACGACUUCAACUUCACAUUUUUAUUAUCUCUGAUUAAUGUAUGUUUUUGUUUAAAAAUACUGCCACAGGUGAUGGGUGAUGGAAAUGUAUUAUUUUCGUAUGUUGCAAUAAAUUUGCUUUUGUUGGUAAUUAAAACACGAACACUACUCAGGAAGGACACAAGUAAGAGAUUGUACUGAAAUACUGAGUCACUGAUCAAUAUUUUCACUUCACCUUAAAGUGUUUCACACACCCCCACAUUUCUUCCCACAAAUACGGAAUCGGAAAUUACAUUUUUCCGGGUUGGCUUUCUACAAAAAGACAACUAUAGUAGCCGUAACAAAAGGCAAACGUUUUUAAUAAAUAUAUUGUCAAUUCAGAAAAUGAGGCUAAUUAACCGCAUCAUUUUGUCUGUAAAGUAAAGUGGGGACGAAAAGAACCAAUCCUGAUGCAGAUUUCCAAAUCUCAGCUUUCAAAUAACGCUUAUUUCUGUCUACACUCUUGCUUUGCUGGCGUCUCCUUCGUAAUCUGUUUCCGUUGUUUGUUUCCCACUUGCGUUCAACGGGCAUGACCCGAAAUAUUCCAUUUUGACAUUGAUUGGAAGUGGUUCCAGAAAAAAAAUUACCUGUGAGGAAAUGGACAAACUUAGCCAAAAAUGUGCGGUACUGGUUCCGCGCACUUUUCUGGCCCAGUUUGGCAACAUUUCGCCAUUGCUCCCUUGAAUGACCAACAAUUACAAAGUGCUCUUUUCAAUCGAACUUGGUUCUUUCAGCCUGCUAUUACUGGCUUGAAGCCAAGUUAACCUUUCUCCUUGGGUAGGUCAGGGUCAGGUCUGUUAGAUUGACAGCAACCGGUUUCAAAAAGUGUUUGGACCUGGAACAUGUGUCUAUCAGAUGGUAUCGCAUUGUAUAAUACUUUUUAGUAUAUCUUGAACUCAGCCAAUUAUGCAAACUGUCGACUUAUUAGAUUUUAAAGCUUUUUUCGACAUUUUCUCUAACCAGACUAGGAGAAAGAUUGGCGCGGCUUUCCUAAAUGACUGUUUUAUAUUCCAUCACAUGCUCGAUCCGAGAAGUUUUGAAAAAUCAAUAAAUUUCAUUAUUACCUA